UACGAAGGGGGCUAGCGUUGCUCGGAAUUACUGGGCGUAAAGCGCGUGUAGGUGGCAAGGCAAGUCGGGUGUGAAAGCCCUGGGCUCAACCCAGGAAGUGCACUCGAUACUGCCUCGCUAGAGUCCCGGAGAGGUUGGUGGAACUCUCGGUGUAGAGGUGAAAUUCGUAGAUAUCGAGAAGAACACCGGUGGCGAAGGCGGCCAACUGGACGGUGACUGACACUGAGACGCGAAAGCGUGGGGAGCAAACAGG
rnacentral:rRNA from 1 species